rnacentral:rRNA from 1 species
UCCUACGGGAGGCAGCAGUGGGGAAUAUUGGACAAUGGACCACAAGUCUGAUCCAGCAAUUCUGUGUGCACGAUGACGUUUUUCGGAAUGUAAAGUGCUUUCAGUCGGGAAGAAGUCAGUGACGGUACCGACAGAAGAAGCGACGGCUAAAUACGUGCCAGCAGCCGCGGUAAUACGUAUGUCGCAAGCGUUAUCCGGAUUUAUUGGGCGUAAAGCGCGUCUAGGCGGCAAGGAAAGUCUGAUGUGAAAAUGCGGAGCUCAACUCCGUAUGGCGUUGGAAACUGCCUUACUAGAGUACUGGAGAGGUAGGCGGAACUACAAGUGUAGAGGUGAAAUUCGUAGAUAUUUGUAGGAAUGCCGAUGGGGAAGCCAGCCUACUGGACAGAUACUGACGCUAAAGCGCGAAAGCGUGGGUAGCAAACAGGAUUAGAUACCCUGGUAGUCC